AUUGCUUCAGCAUCUUUGUCCCCAGGUACUUCAACAAAGGCUGGGUUUCUUCUGAUGAUAACUCCAACCAUAAUAGUGUUCCUCGUAUAGCCUCUCUGACUAAGCCGCCACCACCACUUUCUCUAGUGAGUCUAUCGCUCCCUCUUAGUCCACUCCAAUUCCUCGCUACCAUGGCCCAUUUAACAACUUGCAAGUAGAAGAAGAAAAACCUACCAUUAGAGGUCACGGGUAUCAUUUAACUUGAAAACUAGUUAUUAGAGGUCAUAUGUACUUUUAUAUUACUAU
rnacentral:misc_RNA from 1 species